UACGUAGGGACCAAGCGUUGUUCGGAUUUACUGGGCGUAAAGGGCGCGCAGGCGGCUGCUCAAGUCAGGCGUGAAAGGCCUGGGCUCAACCCGGGAAUUGCGCUUGAGACUGGGCUGGCUUGAGUGCGGGAGAGGAUGGUGGAAUUCCCAGUGUAGAGGUGAAAUUCGUAGAUAUUGGGAAGAACACCGGUGGCGAAGGCGGCCAUCUGGACCGCAACUGACGCUGAGGCGCGAAAGCGUGGGGAGCAAACAGG
rnacentral:rRNA from 1 species